AGCAGCCGCGGUAAUUCCAGCUCCAAUAGCGUAUAUUAAAGUUGUUGCAGUUAAAAAGCUCGUAGUUGAAUUUCGGGAUCAAUGUUUCGGUCAUGCCGUCGGUAUGUACUGAUAUUAUUGGUUUCUCACCUUCUAAAGAACCGUAAUGCCAUUAAUUUGGUGUCACGGGGAAUUAGGACUGUUACCUUGAAAAAUUAGAGUGUUUAAAGCAGGCUCACGCUUGAAUACAUUAGCAUGGAAUAAUGAAAUAGGACAUCCGAUUCUAUUUUGUUGGUUUCUAGGAUCGAUGUAAUGAUUAAUAGGGAUAGUUGGGGGCAUUAGUAUUCAAUUGUCAGAGGUGAAAUUCUUGGAUUUAUUGAAGACUAACUACUGCGAAAGCAUUUGCCAAGGAUGUUUUCAUUAAUCAAGAACGAAAGUUAGGGGAUCGAAGACGAUCAGAUACCGUCGUAGUCUAACCAUAAACUAUGCCGACUAGGGAUCGGAUGAUGUUAAUUUUUAAUGACUCA
rnacentral:rRNA from 1 species